AUUGAACGCUGGCGGCAGGCCUAACACAUGCAAGUCGAACGGUAACAGGAAGAAGCUUGCUUCUUUGCUGACGAGUGGCGGACGGGUGAGUAAUGUCUGGGAAACUGCCUGAUGGAGGGGGAUAACUACUGGAAACGGUAGCUAAUACCGCAUAACGUCGCAAGACCAAAGAGGGGGACCUUCGGGCCUCUUGCCAUCGGAUGUGCCCAGAUGGGAUUAGCUAGUAGGUGGGGUAACGGCUCACCUAGGCGACGAUCCCUAGCUGGUCUGAGAGGAUGACCAGCCACACUGGAACUGAGACACGGUCCAGACUCCUACGGGAGGCAGCAGUGGGGAAUAUUGCACAAUGGGCGCAAGCCUGAUGAAGCCAUGCCGCGUGUAUGAAGAAGGCCUUCGGGUUGUAAAGUACUUUCAGCGGGGAGGAAGGGAGUAAAGUUAAUACCUUUGCUCAUUGACGUUACCCGCAGAAGAAGCACCGGCUAACUCCGUG
rnacentral:rRNA from 1 species